AUGGCAUGGGCCACACUCCUGCUCCCACUCCUCAACCUCUACACAGGCUCUGUUGCCUCCUAUGAGCUGACACAGCUACCCUCGGUGUCAGUGUCCCCAGGACAGACAGCCAGGAUCACCUGCUCUGGAGAUGUACUGGGGGAAAAUUAUGCUGACUGGUACCAGCAGAAGCCAGGCCAGGCCCCUGAGUUGGUGAUAUACGAAGAUAGUGAGCGGUACCCUGGAAUCCCUGAACGAUUCUCUGGGUCCACCUCAGGGAACACGACCACCCUGACCAUCAGCAGGGUCCUGACCGAAGACGAGGCUGACUAUUACUGUUUGUCUGGGGAUGAGGACAAUCC